rnacentral:rRNA from 1 species
UCUGCCCCGGCGUCCAUUGRUGAGGAAGUCCACUGAACCUUAUCAUUUASAGGAAGGAGAAGUCGUAACAAGGUUUYCGUAGGUGAACCUGCGGAAGGAUCAUUGUCGAAACCUGCAAAGCAGAAUGACCCGCGAACAUGUUAUUAUCGUACCUCGGCAAUGUGCGGGCUUUGUCCCAAAACAUUCUCGAACAUAACUAAUCAUCGAGCGCGGUAUGCGCCAAGGAAAAUCUAAAGAACAUAACCGCCCCGUGGUAAGCUCGGGGAUGCGUUUGUUCCACAAGUCAAAACGACUCUCGGCAACGGAUAUCUCGGCUCUCGCAUCGAUGAAGAACGUAGCGAAAUGCGAUACGUGGUGUGAAUUGCAGAAUUCCGUGAAUCAUCGAGUUUUUGAACGCAAGUUGCGCCCGAAGCCAUUUGGCUGAGGGCACGCCUGCCUGGGCGUCACGCAUCGUUGCCCCCCUCUUCAAGCACAUUUGCUCACGAAACGGGCUAUGAGCUUGUUGGGCGGGGGCGUAAAUUGGCUUCCCGUUUGCUCGUCUUCCGGUUGGCCUAAAAUCGAAUUCAUUAGCUACAACCACCGUGSCACAUGGUGGUAUUUGAACAAAUCGUAACCCGCCACGCGCGUUUGUCAKCCUAACGGAUGGUUUAAAACCCRAAAUGUGUCAACUCUAUUUUAGGGGNGGGCUCUUCUUACCGCGACCCCAGGUUSAGGCGGGGAUUACCCGCUGAAUUUUAGCCAUUAUCAAUAAGCGGAGGGAAAANAAAACUU